GACGAACGCUGGCGGCGUGCUUAACACAUGCCAGUCGAACGGAAAGGCCCUGCUUUUGUGGGGUGCUCGAGUGGCGAACGGGUGAGUAACACGUGAGUAACCUGCCCUUGACUUUGGGAUAACUUCAGGAAACUGGGGCUAAUACCGGAUAGGAGCUCCUGCUGCAUGGUGGGGGUUGGAAAGUUUCGGCGGUUGGGGAUGGACGCGCGGCUUAUCAGCUUGUUGGUGGGGUAGUGGCUUACCAAGGCUUUGACGGGUAGGCGGCCUGAGAGGGUGACCGGCGACAUUGGGACUGAGAUACGGACCAGACUCCUACGGGAGGCAGCAGUGGGGAGUAUUGCACAAUGGGCGGAAGUCUGAUGAAGCAACGCCGCGUGCGGGAUGACGGCCUUCGGGUUGUAAACAGCUUUAGCCUGUGACGAAGCGUGAGUGACGGUAAUGGGUAAAGAAGCACCGGCUAACUACGUG
rnacentral:rRNA from 1 species